rnacentral:rRNA from 1 species
UACGUAGGGACCAAGCGUUGUUCGGAUUUACUGGGCGUAAAGGGCGCGUAGGCGGCUUAACAAGUCACUUGUGAAAUCUCCGGGCUUAACUCGGAACGGCCAAGUGAAACUGUCAAGCUAGAGUGCAGAAGGGCAAUCGGAAUUCUUGGUGUAGCGGUGAAAUGCGUAGAUAUCGAGAGGAACACCUGCGGCGAAGGCGGGUUGCUGGGCUGACACUGACGCUGAGGCGCGAAAGCUAGGGGAGCGAACGGG